rnacentral:lncRNA from 1 species
GUCACAGUCAGCAUAUGAUUGUCGUAUAUUGACUUUAAGUAUUCAAUAUCCCUUCAGUCAGCAAUAAUCAUGUUAUAAACCUUAUAAAAGCAUAAAAUACAUAUAAACAAGUUAACUAUUUAAUAUUCUUACAUUCCCCUCUUUGAGCAAUAAAACAAUUGCUCAUCUUAUCGAUAAAAUCUUACCAGGACAGAGAAACUUCCACAUGGUAUUUUCAGGGGUGCUAGUCACUCCCUGCGGGACUUUCAUUAAUUUCUUCACCUCGAUUCCCAUGUGGUAAUUCCUAAGGCUCAGUUUAAAGAUGGGUUGAUACUCUACAGUGGCAGAGAGGAGAAUUUUUAAUUGUUUCUGUUCUGCAUUAUGGAUUCAUUUCUGUACUCUCUUCCUCAAUGUACAAGUAAGGUGACAGUUAUAUAAAAUCAUACACAAUAAAAUCAGGACUAUAAUAACAAAAGGAUAGAAGAAUGAUUUCAUUAUCUGGGAUCCAGUAGGGGACCAACCAGUAAAGCAUUGUACCAAUGAUGGGCUGAAUCAUUCUGAAUUUGUGAACUCACCUUAAGGAGUUCUCCUUUUAGGAUAUGUGUGGCUACCUGUGUAUGUUAUCUUUGGGAAAAAUAUAGUCCCCUGUGUAUGUGGGUGCCCACCAGGUUAAAUUCUUGGCAAAAAGAUCAUAAACUGGUACUGGUAAUGUGUUAAAUUGACAAGCUAAUUUAACAUCCUUUGAUGAUGUAUGAUAUAAUGUAAAAUAGCAUGAGCAUGAAAAAUGUGAAACAUUACCAGUUAACCAUCCAUUGCAUUUACUGGAUUGGGGUUUUAGAAGUAACCAUUCAUUAUCUGUGAGGUUACGCUUUCCUCUAAUCUUCUCUAGUUUAGGAAUCAUUAGUGUGUUUUCUAAUGCCAAUCCUUGUUGUUGUAUCCAUAAAUACCUGAUGGCACAAGUACUCCAGUUACUUAGACCUGUAGUGAAUUUCAUAGUUGCAACAGUUAAAUUAUCUAAAUAAUUAUACAUUGAUUUAUCUAAAUCCAAUCCUAUAACCUGUGAUUUAACAACAAUUGGAGCCCAAUUUGCAGUAGCAUGAAAACCAGUCCCUAUAUGCAUGCUGGCUGUGUUUAACUUAUUCUUGAGGGUCUCCAUAUCUAUAACUAUUUAGUAUACCCAUAGUGGUUCCAGCACCUCCUAACAGUGUGUCAUACCAUUCCCUUUUCUGCCUUUGUUUGUUGUAUUACAUAAUGUUACAACAAGAGUAGUGACUUUUAAUGACACAUGUACAGCUUGUAAGAAGGCAGUUGUAUUAACACAUGUGGACGGAAUAGGUGUGUGUGUGUCGUGUUUGACUUUUGGUUCUAUGGUAGAGGAUAAAGGACAGUAAGGUGUAAAAAUAUAAGGUAGUGUAUAGUUCUCAAUUGCAGUGUCGUUCAUAAUGACUAACAUUUGUCCCCUUCUCCAAUUAAUGAUACCAGUUAUAUAAUCAUUAUUAAAAGUAAUAAGGCCUGUCUGUUUACAUUGAUAUGCAACCUUAACUGUGCACAUUUCUGCGUUAUAAGAUCUAACAAUUUUCUGUGAACCUUUAAACAAACAUAAUGCAUCGGUUUCAUUAGCUGUAGACACAUUUCAUAUGGGUAACUGGUACUUAUAAGGGUUACUAUUUGUCCAAUUCAUCCAAAUGCGUUCAGUAAAUGAAUGAUUGCAUAUUGCAUGCUGAUAGAAAGGUGGUGGAGAAAGGUUCUUGAGGGGGCGUGUGUGACGAAUGCUAGAUGAGGGGCUAAGGCCUAAUUGGGCUGGGGGUAUUGAAGAAUUGUUCAUCAUGUCAGAGUCUUUUUCCAGAACUUGCCAUUGACUUGUACUCAUAAUGGCAUUCAAGGAACAAUAUCAGAGGGAGUAUAACAACUCCAGAAAGCAUAGCGCACAACAUAAUCUUGGUCUCAGGUACGUAUGAUCCUCUCAAUCUACGAUAUGGUGUAAAAGCCAUGAUGCUUCGCUGAGGAGAAAUUCUUCUGUUUCCGAGCGAGGAGUGGUGUUGUCUUCCUUGGUUCCCCUCUUUGGACACAGCUUCACUCGGGAUGCGUGAAUCCAGAUGUCAUGGGAAUCUGUGAGGACAGCGGUUCUGGGUACAGCAAUCACAGUAGCAGGUGGUCCAAAAGGGUAUCCUCCUUUCUUGGUCCUGUUCAGCUGACGGAUAUACACCUUGUCACCGGGCUGGUAUGAAUGAGUAGGUUCCUGUGAAGGUAAGGGAAAACUGCGAAGAAACAUUGUCAUACAUACCAUUCGGUUUUAUCAACAAUUCACCUUGUGGGGAUAUAUUCUUAUCUCAGCUAAAAUAGCUGGUAGAUAUCUUGUCCAAUUUACCCAUGUUCCUGGGUAAAUUCUGGGCUUUUCCUUAAUAGUCCUAUUCAUCCUUUCAACUACCCCUGUAUUCUGUGGAUGAUAGGGUAUAUGAAACUGCCAGGUAACUUGCAAGAAUUUAGCAAGUUCCUGGGCAACCCCACUUGCAAAAACCGGGCCAUUAUCAGAGCCAAUCUGCAGAGGGCAGCAAUACCGGGGAAUAAUUUCAGUAACAAUAAUCUUCACUAGAAUCUUCCCUAGAUAUCACAAAGGCCUCAUGCCAUCUACUAAACUGAUUAACUAUGACCAGUAAGUAUUGCUGUUUCUUACCAAUUUUGGAUACAUGAAUAAAAUCAAUCUGUAAGUGUGUAAAAAGAGCAGUGUUCACACGAUCUUACAAAAGACUGUACAUGCUGCCUGAGAUUCCUAAUAUAAAAUGAAUUCAUGAGGAAUUGAAUGGUGCUUGCUAUGUGCCUGACUGAUGAAAAUAAAUCAGCUUGCUUCAAGUAUGCCUAUUCUUCAAGUAUGCCUAUUCUCCCCUCUUUAGAGAACAGAUCAUUUUGAUCUUUCUCUAAACCUUGUUUAAUCCAAAAGACAGAUUCUGGGUAUUUAAAAAAAAAAGAAUCUCAUAACCACUGAAGCGCUGGGCUGUCAUGUGUUGUGUGGUGAGAUUUGUCAGCUGAGUGACCUGGUGACUGGCAUGAAGUAUUGUAUGAUGCCCUAGUGUGAUAGUAGUAGCAGUUUCAACAGCCAUUGCACAUGCUAUCAAUGCUCUGAGACACGCCGGCAUACCCUGUACCGGAGCUCGAACUACUUUGGAAAAGAAUGCUAUGGGACGCAUACCGCCUCCUUGCUCUUGUGCACAGACUGCGGCCAUGGUUUUACAAUUGUCCCAAGCAUACAAAUGAAAUGGUUUACAAUACACAGGUAGUCCUAAAGCCUGGGCUUGCACAAUAACAACUGUAAGGGCAAUAUAUGCAGCUAGCAUGUCUGGUGACCAGCAGACAUUUUCAGGGCUGUCAGAACGUACAGCCUCCCUUAGGAUUGAGUUAUAAUGGGAGCAUUCAGGGAUCCAUUGGCGGCAGUAAUUAAUCAUGCUGAGGAAGGUGAGCAACUCCUUCCGAGUAGUGGGUGUAGGAAUCCUCUGAAUGACCUCAAUACAUUUUGGACUCAAUUGUCUGGUGCCUAAAGCCAGAACAAAACCUAAGUAUUCAACCUUUGAUUUACACAAUUGCAUUUUGUGUUUAACAACCUUGUGACCUACAGUUGCUGACAGUAUCCACAGUGCUUGCCUCAUAGCUAGGGCUACAUAACAACAAAUCAUCAACAUUUUGCAAAAAGGACGGAACCAUGACCGGUGGUCCAUGUUUUUUAGAGUAUGUUGGAGUACCAACGAAUAAACAGCUGGGGAAUCC